rnacentral:rRNA from 1 species
AUUGAACGCUGGCGGCAGGCUUAACACAUGCAAGUCGAGCGGAGAUGAGGUGCUUGCACCUUAUCUUAGCGGCGGACGGGUGAGUAAUGCUUAGGAAUCUGCCUAUUAGUGGGGGACAACAUUCCGAAAGGAAUGCUAAUACCGCAUACGUCCUACGGGAGAAAGCAGGGGAUCUUCGGACCUUGCGCUAAUAGAUGAGCCUAAGUCGGAUUAGCUAGUUGGUGGGGUAAAGGCCUACCAAGGCGACGAUCUGUAGCGGGUCUGAGAGGAUGAUCCGCCACACUGGGACUGAGACACGGCCCAGACUCCUACGGGAGGCAGCAGUGGGGAAUAUUGGACAAUGGGCGGAAGCCUGAUCCAGCCAUGCCGCGUGUGUGAAGAAGGCCUUUUGGUUGUAAAGCACUUUAAGCGAGGAGGAGGCUACUAGUACUAAUACUACUGGAUAGUGGACGUUACUCGCAGAAUAAGCACCGGCUAACUCUGUGCCAGCCGCCGCCGUAAAAC